CGCGCCCAAGAAUUAUUAAAUUGUAUAUUUUUGGUGAGACGGACCAAAAGUUUCUACUUCAGGACCUAUUCCUGAAACUACAAUUUAUCCGUAGCUGGGU
rnacentral:ncRNA from 2 species